GACGAACGCUGGCGGCGUGCCUAAUACAUGCAAGUAGAACGCUGAAGGAGGAGCUUGCUCUUCUGGAUGAGUUGCGAACGGGUGAGUAACGCGUAGGUAACCUGCCUGGUAGCGGGGGAUAACUAUUGGAAACGAUAGCUAAUACCGCAUAACAGUAGAUGUUGCAUGACAUUUACUUAAAAGGUGCAAUUGCAUCACUACCAGAUGGACCUGCGUUGUAUUAGCUAGUUGGUGGGGUAACGGCUCACCAAGGCGACGAUACAUAGCCGACCUGAGAGGGUGAUCGGCCACACUGGGAAUGAGACACGGCCCAGACUCCUACGGGAGGCAGCAGUAGGGAAUCUUCGGCAAUGGACGGAAGUCUGACCGAGCAACGCCGCGUGAGUGAAGAAGGUUUUCGGAUCGUAAAGCUCUGUUGUAAGAGAAGAACGAGUGUGAGAGUGGAAAGUUCACACUGUGACGGUAUCUUACCAGAAAGGGACGGCUAACUACGUG
rnacentral:rRNA from 1 species